GGCAUAGCAACGCGCUGGAAAAGAAACCAACAGAAAACAGGCAAAUAUUAAAUGGAUGUCAUCAAGGAUGUACUUCAAAAUUCUUGUUGAGUAAAUACGGCAAUAAGACAUUCAGGUCUGCAUCUCGUAAGAUAUCGGAAGCCGUCUGACUUGGCCACAUCGCUCGGAAGUCCGAAGUACUAGAAAAAACCGCCAUCUGCUACCUUAAGACAUUUGUUAACUUUUGUCUGCAUCUCGUAAGAUAUCGGAAGCCGUCUGACUUGGCCACAUCGCUCGGAAGUCCGAAGUACUAGAAAAAACCGCCAUCUGCUACCUAAACAGAGAUUAGUCACCCGGUGCAUACGUACAAAAAUCCAAGAUGGUUGACAACUGUCAAAAUUUCAACUGACGUAAACUUUUAUCAGUCUUUACACAGUCAACAAUGGACAUUACAUGAAAACAUCGAUUUGAUUUAAUACAGCAGGUAAUUGUUGAAUGAACUGUUAUAAUAAUUCAGGCUGACACUGCGUACUUUUAUAAAGAGUCCCUGCGAAAGCUACAAUUACAGUUUCACUAACUGAAACAACUGCAUGACAUAAAUAAAGUCCUAAUAUUUUGGAAUGUAAUUUAGUAAACAAACAUUUAAUAAUUUGACUGGUUAUCUGUCAAUGCCUAGAAAUGUUACAGAACAAUGAACUAUGAUUUAAGAGUAGCUGACAGAUAGCCUAACAAUUUUGAAAUCAAAAAUGAAAAACUACUGAUAGGCCGUAAAAGCAAUACAAAACAAUUGCAUGAAACGAGGUCGUGAGGCCUCAUGCCUCUAAUACGCUCGAAUAUGGUUCGAAUCUUUGUACUGCCAUUAUAAAGUAAUGGUUUCAAUAACUUCAAUACAAUUGCAGUACAAUUGCUUUUAGACAGAAGGUAGAACACACAUGCAUAUAUUGCAUUUACAGAUUUCCAAUUAAUUAAUUAUCAAAUAUAUAAUCAAUUUGAUAAAUUUCAUAGAUGCUACAUUUACGCUAUGCAUUUAAACAAUUAUCAUAUGUACCAUUUCCAACAUUUAUAAAUAAUUCAUAUAGACACCAGAAUUCGAACCUGUAACCACAUUGCAUCACAGAUUUUAGGCAGUACCAUACUUAAUAAUAAACACAACAUUUUGGACAAGUACAUGAGAUUUUGUCUUUUCAACAAUUGAGCAAUUUGUCCUUUGAGCAAUACAAUGUAUAACAAAAAUAACAGCAUUCUUAACAAUAUAUAACAAUAAAUAACAAUUGUUACAGUACUUCGUUUAUUCCAGGGCUCAGUAAUAUUCAACAGUUGAACUUGAAAUGUACCAAAUACUUCUAACAGAAUGUUGAAAAUUUAUCAGAUGAUUACUUAACCACUGACUGACAACAGUGCUAAAUGAAGUGACAAAGUCAGAAAUCUACUUUAACUUAUAAAAGUUAAAAUACUAAAGAUAUACGUAUACCUUUAUUAUAUCAGAGGUAAAUAUUACCAAAAUUUUUACCUUUAACCAACUGUUACCGUACUGAUACCAAAAAAUUUACUAUAAAUGUGGUAACAAUAGCAUUUCUUGAAAACAACUAGUUUACUGUUAACAGAUUAAAGUCCUACAAAAAAAAAUGUCACAAAAAGUAGCCCAGACCAAAAAAUACACUUAAAAUUUUUCUAACAGACCCUCAUUAUUAAAUUAUUAUUAAAUGUGAAAUUUCCUCACUAGUAGGGGACCUAUGUUGGGAUCUUCCUGCUGGAAUGUCGACCAGUACACCUCUAGUGUAUCCUCCAGCGUGCUUUCAGUAUUUCUCAGAGGGUCAGUAUUCUUAUUUGAACCUAGAAAACUCAUCUCGGUACCAUUUAUCGACAGAUCACCUACCAGAGCUCUUGGUUGGUCAUCUGUAACUUCACUCUGAUUCUUUCCUGUAUAACCAUUCCGUUCUUUCUCAUGCUAACUCUGAAUACCUUCAAGGUAAGCUUGACUGACAAUCCCAGCAACACGGGGUCCCAUGCACUGAGUCAAUUCUUCUUCUGUCUCUUUAUCAUUAUCAUUGUCUGCUUGGAAUGAAGGUUGACGGAUUUGCCUCCCUUAGUCCACUCAUAGAAUUUGUAGGGUUUAAGGUCGACGGAAUUGUCUCCCUUGGUUUAUCAAUUGAUUUAACCUAGCUGAAGGUCGGACCUCUCUUUCAGCUAAUAACCAUUUCCCUGGUUCUGUGGUCUAGUACCUUGACUACUUUAUGCCAUCUAAUGGUUCAUUUUGGAUCAUCCGGGAAUACGAACCUCGUCUUGUAUAAUUUAAUUCUGUAUUUUUAUUUUACAUUUUUGUAUUUGGGUUUUACGGCGCACCAACACAGUAUAGGUUAUAUGGCGCCAAACAGGACUACAAAUUUUGGUUUCAUAUCUCAUUUACAUCGAAAUAAAAACAUGAGGUAUGGAAUCAAAAUUUUCAUACCUGCUGGAAUCACAGAGUUACAGCAAAACCAAGUGUUGAGACCCUAUUAGUCGCCUCUUAUGAUCAUGCAAGGGUAAGGCAGUGAUUCCAAUUAUUUUCAUACACAGAUCGUCCCAGAACCACAUAAUUUAUUUCUGAUUCUACAGCUAAUCCGAGGGCCUCGGACAUUGCUACUAUCAGGUCUCUGCGUAACUGGUCAUCGUUCAGGGACUCUGCAAAAGCUUCAAGGGCCAUCUCUUCCCAACAUUUCAUAUCAAGAUCAGGAUAGGCUAAUCUAACCAUCUUUUUGAUGUCAUUAGCUAGUUCAUCUAGUGAUUCAUUUCGUUUUCUGAUGCGGGCUCUUAAUUUGGCAACAUGGAGUCUUCUCUGGUUUUGUGGUUGAAACCUAUCAAUCAGGCUACCAACAAUUAAAUCAUAGUCUCUACGCCUUUCUGGAGGAAUAUCAUUCAAUAUUUCAGCCACAGCGCCUCUCAAGGAAACAGCUAAUUGAAGCGCUUUCUUUUCAAAAGACUAAUGAUUUAAGUCACUGGUCAUAUCAAAUUGCGUUAAAUAGGAAUUAAGGUCAGUUGUGCU